UCGGAAGGUGCGGCUGGAUCACCUCCUUUCUAGGGAGACAUACACCAAGCCGAGAGCUUGGAUGUCACUUAGGUCGACACUUUGGCGAGUAAGUAGACGUAGCAUAAGCGCUAGCUGUACUUACACACUUAUCAUUGUUUGGUUUUGAGAGAUCUGUCAUAGAUUUCUCAAUGUAAUAUGACGUUAUACAUUACGCGUUAAUCUAGGCGCACGUAGGGUUGCGAAAUCGACGCAUACUGGAAGUAUGCUAGAUGAGCAAGACAAGUGCAACGACGAGUAACACGGAAUGUACGGCAGAUUUGUUCUUUGAAAACUGCAUAGAAGAAUUAAUAUAUAUUUGUAAGGUCAUCUCUUAGAAUUUCUAAGUAGGUUGACCCUAGCACAUAGGAAAUAAUUCUCUGACUUAAUGGUGACGUACAUGAAAAUGUACGGCUACAAAAAACGACAAUGUAUCUAAUGCAUGUCAAUGAAAUCUAAGAAUAGAUUUUCGUCAAAAUUUGAUGGAUAACAAGGCGUGCCAGUGAGGCGAUGUCGCCGCGUACUUAUGUACGCAAGACAAACCGAACGCAGCACAACGAAGUUAGCCGCAAAUUAUGACGUAAAAUAAGUAAAGAUUUUAAGGGCGUACGGUGGAUGCCUUGGCGAUAUCAGCCGAAGAAGGACGCGGUAAGCUGCGAUAAGCUACGGAGAGGUGCAAGCAACCUGUGACCCGUAG
rnacentral:misc_RNA from 1 species